UCGUCAUGAUAUUGAGGCGUCAGUCAUAACUGACGGGGAGUUAAAUUCACCGUACUGCGUACUGGUUGAACUCCUGUAAAAACUCAACAUAGCAUUACCCUGCUACACAAUAUCAGACG
ncrna:Salmonella enterica subsp. enterica serovar Muenchen str. baa1594 EFASI RNA